UACAGAGGUGGCAAGCGUUGUUCGGAAUUACUGGGCGUAAAGGGCGAGUAGGCGGCCUUCUAAGUCAGACGUGAAAUCCCCCGGCUUAACCUGGGAACUGCGUCUGAUACUGGGAGGCUUGAGUAUGGGAGAGGAUGAGGGAAUUCCUGGUGUAGCGGUGAAAUGCGUAGAUAUCAGGAGGAACACCGGUGGCGAAAGCGCUCAUCUGGCCCAAUACUGACGCUGAGGCGCGAAAGCUAGGGGAGCAAACGGG
rnacentral:rRNA from 1 species